GAGACACCCUUAUGGUGCAGGACUUACUUCAUUGGGGCUUUGGUGCUCACUGAGUCUGCCCCUUGAAUGUGUCACU
rnacentral:pre_miRNA from 1 species